rnacentral:lncRNA from 1 species
GUAUCGAUUUUAGUGAAAAUAUCUAGCAUUGGCUGGCAAAUUUCGUGUGCCCUUCAUUGGGCUUAAUUUAUUAACCAAAAAAAAAGAGAUGCUGAUUCUUUCCUCAUAGUUGGCACUAUUUUUCAGUACCUUAUAUCGACAAAUAUAAGCGAUAAAGAAGUCAACCAUGCUUUUCCUCCUCUCCGUAGUUGCUUAUUAACUAGUUGUUUGUCUUGGACGAUGUGGCAGUAUUUUGGUCAAUAUUUAUCGAGUGAAAGCCUGUAGUAGAAAUUUUGUAUAUAGUUAUACUUUUGACUAAUAUGACAGGUUUUAACAAUUAUUUUGUGCACGAUCCAUUUCAGUGAGGAAAAUGGGAGGUGGGAAGGACAAGCAUGAUGGGAAAGACAGCAGUGACAGAGGAUUCUUAUCAGACAUGGCACAUGGACUUUAUCCAUCAGGACACCACUCUGGAUACCCUCCAGCACCUGGGGCAUACCCUCCUCAAGGUUACCCCCCAGCACCUGGGGGAUACCCUCCCCAGGGUUACCCCUCAGCACCUGGGGGAUACCCUCCUCAAGGUUACCCCUCAGCACCUGGGGGAUACCCUCCUCAAGGGUAUCCUCCACAGGGAUACCCUCCACAUGGGUACGCACCCGGUGGAUACCCACCAGCAGCUUAUCCUGGUCCAUCUGCUCCACAUCAAGGUAUGCAUCAUUUCUACAAAACUACAGAUAGCAUAUUGGAGAGUGGAGACCUUUCUUAUGAUCCAUCCUCCAUGUUGGUAUAGUGUUUUAAGUGGUAGAAACCCAUGGAACCAUCAGUGCUGCUCUAUUGCUACUAUAGAUCAUCUAAUCCUUACUGAUCUGAAAAGGAAAUUGAUGAAGGCUAAAGUUCUCCACCGAGAUCAUUAUUGCUAUUCACUUAUUAGCAGCACCACGAUUAUUUAACCAUCCUUAUCAUUAUUAACGAGCACAGUUGUACAAUUAGAAGCUGUUAUUUCAUUUUCGAUUGUUCUUGUUCUUUGUUUAAUUGUAUAAAUCAUUACACACAACAUGUAGGAUCAUCUCCAUUCAUCUAACAACAAAGGGUUCCUUCCACUUGUAUGCCUGGUUCUUUGUAGUUCAUAAUAUGAGCCUCAACAACCUUGUUACUUGGACGGACAUUGUUCCUUGAUAUCUUUAAUUUCUUCGACAAUCACCGGGUCAAAAACUUUUCACAGGACAUGGAUCUCACAUGGGAACGAUGCUAGCUGGGGGUGCAGCCGCUGCAGCGGCCGC